rnacentral:lncRNA from 1 species
CUAGAAAUCUUUUAAUGCAAGAGAAUGCUGUAGAAAGAACUCCCACCUGUGGUUCCUCACCACCCUCACCCCUUCCAAGUUACCCUCAGCUGCAACAGGCCAGAUCCCUUGUUCCAGGAAGGCUGGUUGGGAACAAGGGACCACCUGGAGUCAGCAGCUGAAUGGAUGCCUGAGGUUCAUGGAUUCUAAGACUUUUCCAAGCCCCCUUUCUGCUGCCACUGGAAUUGUCUCCCAGAAACACAGUUCAGACUGUUUGACUUCCCAAUUCUUUAGCAUCCAGGCUUUUCCUUGGUUAGGCCCCAGCCUACUUAUUCUCUCAUAUAAUCUGCACACCAGUCAUAUGAGGCUGCAGGUAACAGAAAGCAAACUCCAACUAAACUGAAGCAGUAAACAAGUGGAAGGACUCCGAGGUGGCUGACGAGCUUGACAAACAAGCUCACGGGCCCUCCCUCAAGGACUAGAAGGCAAGGCUGAAAACCAUCAGGACUCUGCCUCUCGCUGGAUGUCUGCUUCAUUCUCAAUUUUUUCCCAUGAGGUUGGAAUCAAGGUUGUCAGCCAUCACUGGGACUUCUUCCUUUCCUGAGAGAAAGUAUCUUCCUAGCUUCAGUUGGAGAGAUCCUAGGGAAGGACACCUAUGUGACCUAUUUGGGGUCACAUUCCUGUCCUGUGGACUGGUGUCUGUGACCAGGGAGGAAAGAUGGGAAAGAACUUGAACUUUGAGGCCGGGCGCAAUGGCUCAGCAGUGGCUCACGCCUGUAAUCCCAGCACUUUGGGAGGCCAAGGCAGGUGGAUCACGAGGUCAGGAGAUCGAGACCAGCCUGGCCAACAUGGCUAAAAUUACAAAAAUCUACUAAAAAUACAAAAAUUAGCCAGGUAUGGUGGCGG